AUGUGUACCCUCGUCGCCGCCGCCCCCAAACGCGAUGUGCCCUUGCCGCCGCCGCCGCCGCCCCCGCCCCCAACCACCGCACCCAGCCUCCUCUAUCUGACUAUGUCCUCACCCCCAAGCAGCGGACCGUCCGUCCCCUCUCGCCCGUGUUCGCCGCCUCCUCCUCACACGCGUCGCCGCAGCCCUUAUCUUCUCACCGGCGGCGCCUGUUUCUUUCGCCCCACGCCGCCUCUCGGUCAAGUUAAAGAUGUUUUUUUUGUGAAGAGGAGGUGUGGCAGCGGCAAGGAGCAACAAAAUGAGCUAUGCAGCCGGAUGAUUCUGAAGUUGCUGGAUCUGAAGCGGGAGGACGUCGCCAUGUAG
rnacentral:rRNA from 1 species